AGAUGGCGUAAGCUAUCGCUUUUGGAUGGACCCGCGGCGUAUUAGCUAGUUGGUGAGGUAACGGCUCACCAAGGCGAUGAUACGUAGCCGAACUGAGAGGUUGAUCGGCCACAUUGGGACUGAGACACGGCCCAAACUCCUACGGGAGGCAGCAGUAGGGAAUCUUCCACAAUGGACGCAAGUCUGAUGGAGCAACGCCGCGUGAGUGAAGAAGGCUUUCGGGUCGUAAAACUCUGUUGUUGGAGAAGAAUGGUCGGCAGAGUAACUGUUGUCGGCGUGACGGUAUCCAACCAGAAAGCCACGGCUAACUACGUGCCAGCAGCCGCGGUAAUACGUAGGUGGCAAGCGUUAUCCGGAUUUAUUGGGCGUAAAGCGAGCGCAGGCGGUUUUUUAAGUCUGAUGUGAAAGCCCUCGGCUUAACCGAGGAAGCGCAUCGGAAACUGAGAAACUUGAGUGCAGAAGAGGACAGUGGAACUCCAUGUGUAGCGGUGAAAUGCGUAGAUAUAUGGAAGAACACCAGUGGCGAAGGCGGCUGUCUGGUCUGUAACUGACCCUGAGGCUCGAAAGCAUGGGUAGCGAACAGGAUUAGAUACCCUGGUAGUCCA
rnacentral:rRNA from 1 species